AUUGAACGCUGGCGGCAGGCCUAACACAUGCAAGUCGAGCGAGCGGCGGACGGGUGAGUAAUGUAUGGGGACUGCCCGAUAGAGGGGGAUAACUACUGGAAACGGUGGCUAAUACCGCAUACUGUCGGAUAGUACAUAUGGGAUUAGCGAGUAGGUAAGGUAAUGGCUUACCUAGGCGACGAUCCCUAGCUGGUCUGAGGGGAUGAUCAGCCACACUGGGCCUGAGACACGGCCCAGACUCCUACGGAGGCAGCAGUGGGGAAUAUUGCACAAUGGGCGCAAGCCUGAUGCAGCCAUGCCGCGUGUAUGAAGAAGGCCCUAGGGUUGUAAAGUACUUUCAGUCGUGAGGCGUUACCUACAGAAGAAGCACCGGCUAACUCCGUGCCAGCAGCCGCGGUAAUAC
rnacentral:rRNA from 1 species